rnacentral:rRNA from 1 species
GACCUCGGAUCAGACGUGAGUACCCGCUGAACUUAAGCAUAUCACUAAGCGGAGGAAAAGAAACUAACCAGGAUCCCA